rnacentral:rRNA from 1 species
UACGUAGGGGGCAAGCGUUGUCCGGAAUCAUUGGGCGUAAAGAGCGUGUAGGCGGCCAGAUAAGUCCGCUGUGAAAUCUCGAGGCUCAACUUCGAGCUGUCGGUGGAAACUGUCUGGCUAGAGUCCGGAAGAGGAGAAUGGAAUUCCCAGUGUAGUGGUGAAAUACGUAGAGAUUGGGAAGAACACCAGUGGCGAAGGCGGCUAUCUGGACGGUUUCUGACGCUAAGACGCGAAAGCGUGGGGAGCAAACAGG